CUAAACAAAUUAAACCAGUAUAUUUGGCUGUCCCCGUCUCUCCAACAUGGGGCCAGUCUCUCUAAGCUGGGAGAGUGAAUUUCAACCUUAGAACAACUUAAGUUCUGUUACGGAAGCUCUAAACGCCAAGCUCCAUGACACUAUUGUCGUUCAAACAAUC
rnacentral:snoRNA from 1 species